rnacentral:misc_RNA from 1 species
GAUGAAGAACGUAGCGAAAUGCGAUAAGUAGUGUGAAUUGCAGAAUUCAGUGAAUCAUCGAGUCUUUGAACGCACAUUGCGCCCCCUGGUAUUCCGGGGGGCAUGCCUGUCCGAGCGUCAUUGCUGCCCUCAAGCACGGCUUGUGUGUUGGGCCGCCGUCCCCGGUUUCCCCCGGGGACGGGCCCGAAAGGCAGCGGCGGCACCGCGUCCGAUCCUCGAGCGUAUGGGGCUUUGUCACCCGCUCUGUAGGCCCGGCCGGCGCCAGCCGACACCCAACUUUAUUUCUAAGGUUGACCUCGGAUCAGGUAGGGAUACCCGCUGAACUUAAGCAUAUCAAUAAGCGGAGGA